GGAAGGAUGGCAGAGUGGUUUAAUGCGGCGGUCUUGAAAACCGUUGAGGGUGCAAGCCCUCCAGGGGUUCAAAUCCCUUUCCUUCCGCCA
rnacentral:tRNA from 1 species